GGAUGGUCUCCUGAGGGAUCUCCUCCCAGACCUGGACUCAAGCAUUUGCCAACUCCUGGAUAGUCUGUGGUGCAACGUGACAUUGGUGGAUGGAGCGAGACAUGAUGUCCCAGAUGUGCUCAAUUGGAUUCAGGUCUGGGGAACGGGCGGGCCAGUCCAUAGCAUCAAUGCCUUUGUCUUGCAGUAACUGCUGACACACUCCAGCCACAUGAGGAACCCAGGGCCAACCGCACCAGCAUAUGGUCUCACAAGGGGUCUGAGGAUCUCAUCUCGGUACCUAAUGGCAGUCAGGCUACCUCUGGCGAGCACAUGGAGGGCUGUGCGGCCCCCCAAAGAAAUGCCACCCCACACCAUUACUG